rnacentral:rRNA from 1 species
UACGUAGGGUCCGAGCGUUGUCCGGAAUUAUUGGGCGUAAAGAGCUCGUAGGCGGUCUGUCGCGUCGGCUGUGAAAACACGGGGCUCAACUCCGUGCCUGCAGUCGAUACGGGCAGACUAGAGUUCGGUAGGGGAGACUGGAAUUCCUGGUGUAGCGGUGAAAUGCGCAGAUAUCAGGAGGAACACCGGUGGCGAAGGCGGGUCUCUGGGCCGAAACUGACGCUGAGGUGCGAAAGCGUGGGGAGCAAACAGG